rnacentral:rRNA from 1 species
CCUACGGGUGGCUGCAGUCGAGAAUCAUUCACAAUGGGGGAAACCCUGAUGGUGCGACGCCGCGUGGGGGAAUGAAGGUCUUCGGAUUGUAAACCCCUGUCAUGUGGGAGCAGAUUAAAAAGAUAAUACCCCAAGAGGAAGAGACGGCUAACUCUGUGACCACAGCCGCGGUCAUACAGAGGUCUCAAGCGUUGUUCGGAAUCACGGGGCGUAAAGCGUACGAAGGCUGUUUCGUAAGUCGUGUGUGAAAGGCGCGGGCUCAACCCGCGGACGGCACAUGAUACUGCGAGACUUGAGUUGGCGAGAAGUACGCGGAAUGCGCGGUGUAGCGGUGAAAUGCAUAGAUAUCGCGCAGAACGCCGAUUGCGAAGGCAGCGUACCGGCGCCAGACUGACGCUGAGGCACGAAAGCGUGGGGAUCGAACAGGAUUAGAUACCCCUGUAGUC